UAAUAAAGUGUUUAUGGCACUUUCUAACAGUCCAUAUCCACCUUGUGUGCAAUAGCGUUUUUUUUAUGAAAGGGCAAAUCAACUUAUUUUUUAAUUGUCCAUUGAUCUGAAGAUCAGUAUUUAUGAAUUAACUAAUUCAAAUA
rnacentral:misc_RNA from 1 species